rnacentral:rRNA from 1 species
GACGAACGCUGGCGGCGCGCUUAACACAUGCAAGUCGAGCGAAGCGGCGGACGGGUGAGUAACACGUGAGUAACCUGCCUUAGACAUUGGGAUAGCCUCGGGAAAACGGGAUUAAUACCAAAUGGUCUAAGAUGGACUCGCGUCCCAUUAGCUAGUUGGUGAGGUAACGGACAACCAAGGCGACGAUGGGUAGCCGGCCUGAGAGGGUGAACGGCCACAUAGGAACUGAGAAACGGUCCAAACUCUACGGGGGGCAGCAGUGGGGAAUAGUGCACAAUGGAGGGAACCCUGAUGCAGCGACGCCGCGUUAGUUAGAAGGCCUUCGGGUUGGAAAAAUCUUUUUUAUGGGAUGCAGUACCAUAAGAAUAAGGUCCGGCUAAAUACGUGCCAGCCGCCGCGGUAAUAC